rnacentral:rRNA from 1 species
AACGAACGCUGGCGGCAUGCCUAACACAUGCAAGUCGAACGAGACCUCCGGGUCUAGUGGCGCACGGGGGCGUAACGCGUGGGAACCUGCCCUUAGGUUCCGAAUAACUCCCCGAAAGGGGUGCUAAUACCGGAAAAUUUCUUCGGACCAAAGAUUGAUCGCCUUUGGAUGGGCACGCGAUGGAUUAGCCUGUUGGUAGUGUAAAAGCCUACCAAGGCGACGAUCCAUAGCUGGUCUGAGAGGAUGAUCAGCCACACUGGGACUGAGACACGGCGCAGACUACUACGGGAAGCAGCAGUGGGGAAUAUUGGAAAAUGGGCGAAAUCCUGAUGCAGCAAUGCCGGGUGAGUGAUGAAGGCCUGAGAGUUGUAAAGCUCUUUUACCCGGGAUGAUAAUGACAGUACCGGGAGAAUAAGCUCCGGCUAACUCCGUG